rnacentral:sRNA from 1 species
CCGAAAGUAGCGUAUGCUCUCGUAAAU